AACGAACGCUGGCGGCGCGCCUAAUACAUGCAAGUCGAGCGAGAAGGUGUAGCAAUACACUUGUAAAGCGGCGAACGGGUGAGGAAUGCAUGGGUAACCUACCCUCGAGUGGGGAAUAACUAGCCGAAAGGUUGGCUAAUACCGCAUACGUUUCCGGAACUUCGGUUUCGGAAAGAAAGCAAUACCGUGGGUAUUGCGCUCCUGGAUGGGCUCAUGUCCUAUCAGCUUGUUGGUGAGGUAACGGCUCACCAAGGCUUCGACGGGUAGCUGGUCUGAGAGGACGAUCAGCCACACUGGCACUGCGACACGGGCCAGACUCCUACGGAGGCAGCAGUAAGGAAUAUUGCGCAAUGGACGAAAGUCUGACGCAGCGACGCCGCGUGGGGGGAUGAAGGUCUUCGGAUUGUAAACCCCUUUCGGGAGGGAAGAUGGAGUGGGUAACCACUUGGACGGUACCUCCAGAAGCAGCCACGGCUAACUUCGUGCCAGCAGCCGCGGUAAU
rnacentral:rRNA from 1 species